UGCACAAGUUUAUAAAUUAGUAAAAACAGGCUCAAACUUCAUUUCAAACUGGUCAAGAAGAUUUGUUUUGAAUUAUGCCUGUUACAAGGGAAAAACAGUAAAAAGUUUAUAUAUUAUAAUUAAAACUUGGCUGAUAGAUUAACGUCUCUUAGAUGAACAUCUGAGUCAAAAAGUACCUCAUUGUUAAACAUGGAUCAGAAUCACGUAUUCUCCUCUCGCGGUAUAUGAUUAGAUAAGCUUA
rnacentral:lncRNA from 1 species